rnacentral:rRNA from 1 species
AACGAACGCUGGCGGCAGGCUUAACACAUGCAAGUCGAGCGCCCCGCAAGGGGAGCGGCAGACGGGUGAGUAACGCGUGGGAAUCUACCCAUCUCUACGGAAUAACGCAUGGAAACGUGUGCUAAUACCGUAUACGUCCUUCGGGAGAAAGAUUUAUCGGAGAUGGAUGAGCCCGCGUUGGAUUAGCUAGUUGGUGGGGUAAAGGCCUACCAAGGCGACGAUCCAUAGCUGGUCUGAGAGGAUGAUCAGUCACACUGGGACUGAGACACGGCCCAGACUCCUACGGGAGGCAGCAGUGGGGAAUAUUGGACAAUGGGCGCAAGCCUGAUCCAGCCAUGCCGCGUGAGUGAUGAAGGCCCUAGGGUUGUAAAGCUCUUUCACCGGUGAUGAUAAUGACGGUAACCGGAGAAGAAGCCCCGGCUAACUUCGUGCCAGCCGCCGCGGUAAGAC